UCUUCGGCGAGAAACCAGUUGGUACCGCCAUCUUUCUUGAAAUCGAGGCAACUUUUGUUGCCACAAACACCAAAACCCGAAUUUGUUGGGAGGAACUCGUGGUUGAAACCUUUGGAAUCGGGAACUUGCAUCCACGCAUUCGCUGCCUUUCAUUAAUUCUGCAUCACAUCUAAGCUUAGCACCAUGGCUGUUGACUACCAACCACCUGAAUGUCUCUCAAAACCCAUCGAGGUACCGUCCAAACUGUUGAUGGGAGCUGGUCCGUCUAAUGCGGCUGAAAAUGUUUUAAGAGCUGGAAGCUUGCCAUUGUUAGGACAUUUACAUACCGAGUUUGUUCAGAUUAUGGAUGAGGUCAAACAAGGCAUUCAAUAUGCAUUUCAAACGAAGAACAUUUUGACCCUUGCGAUCAGUGGCUCUGGUCAUGCAGGCAUGGAAGCAGCUUUGUGUAACCUCAUCGAAAGAAAUGAUGUUGUGCUUGUUGGCAUCAAUGGAAUCUGGGGAGAAAGGGCAGCAGACAUGGCUAACCGACAAGGUGCUGAUGUAAGAACUAUAACCAAAACGGCUGGGGAAAAUUUCAAAAUGGGUGAAAUUGAAGCAGCUUUAGUACAACACAAACCAGCGAUUCUCUUUCUGGCUCAAGGAGAAUCAUCAACUGGUGUUGUGCAGCCUAUAGAGGGUGUUGGUGCACUCUGCUCCAAAUAUGGCUGCUUAUUGCUAAUUGAUACGGUGGCCUCUCUUGGCGGGGAGCCGUUUUAUAUGGAUCGCUGGCAAGUAGAUGUCGUUUACACAGGAUCACAAAAGGUUUUGGGUGCUCCUCCCGGCACGGCUCCCAUCUCUUUUGGUCCGCGCGCUGCGGCCAAGAUUGCAGCUCGAAAGACCCCGAUAUCUUCGUUUUACUUCGACAUGAAUUGGCUUGGCAACUACUGGGGCUGUGAUAACCAACCACGCAAGUACCACCACACUGCGCCCAUUUCCAGCAUCUACGCCUUGCGCGAAGCUCUUGCCUUGCUGGCCAGUGAAGGCCUGGAGAAUUCAUGGAAGCGCCAUCGUCAAUGCCGAGAUCGCCUUAUCAGCGGCUUAGCCAAAUUGAACCUGAAGCCGCUGGCGUCCGAGCCCGCCAACCGUCUGACGUGCAUCACAGCGAUUCAGGUCCCAGACGGCGUCGACUGGAAAUCCGUCACCGCCCACGCCAUGUCCAUGCGUGUGGAGAUUGCUGGUGGAUUAGGCCCGACUGCUGGUCGUAUCUGGCGUGUCGGACUAAUGGGACAGAACGCCACCGAUGAACGCGUGGAUCGAGUUUUGGACGUAUUAGCCGAGUCUAUCAAGAGCUCCACUACCCCACCGGUCAUGGGACGUCUUUGAAGCUGCCGCUAUCUCGCCACCACAUUCCCGAUAUUAUAAGAACCCAGAUCUUCCACUAGGACUUUGAAGUUGAUAGCCCCACCCUAGCGCAGUGUGUAACGAGGACAAUAUAAGGGGUCGGGAGUUAGAUGAGAUGAGCAGACAUGAGAACCUUAUUUUUUUUUUUUUUUUUUUUUGGACUGGGACAGCCAAAAAAGAAAAUUCGACGGCGACACAGACGACAGGAUAGCGCAGACAUGACGCCUGUGUAUAUACAGACGCCCGGUGUAGGCGCCAAACGACUGACGGCGACAACGCAAAUCCCGCGGCUUGUCCCCUCCCCGCUCGUAAAAUAAACGCGGGAUCAAUUU